rnacentral:rRNA from 1 species
CUACGGGUUGCAGCAGUGGGGAAUAUUGCACAAUGGGCGCAAGCCUGAUGCAGCCAUGCCGCGUGUAUGAAGAAGGCCUUCGGGUUGUAAAGUACUUUCAGCGGGGAGGAAGGGAGUAAAGUUAAUACCUUUGCUCAUUGACGUUACCCGCAGAAGCAGCACCGGUUAACUCCGUGCCAGCAGCCGCGGUAAUACGGAGGGUGCAAGCGUUAAUCGGAAUUACUGGGCGUAAAGCGCACGCAGGCAGUUUGUUAAGUCAGAUGUGAAAUCCCCGGGCUCAACCUGGGAACUGCAUCUGAUACUGGCAAGCUUGAGUAUCGUAGAGGGGGGUAGAAUUCCAGGUGUAGCGGUGAAAUGCGUAGAGAUCUGGAGGAAUACCGGUGGCGAAGGCGGCCCCCUGGACGAAGACUGACGCUCAGGUGCGAAAGCGUGGGGAGCAAACAGGAUUAGAUACCCGAGUAGUC